GAGCAGAGGGGAGGAAGAUGGCACCUGUGUUUCUGUUCCGGUGCUGGAUCCAGUAUGAUGGUGAUAGAAGAGGAACAAGGAUCUGAACUCUACAGCCCAGCAGGGUCUCUGAGGACUGUAUGAACACAGUGACAGGAGUAUCGGCGGAGUGAAUGACAGAAGGGGGAGGCUGAAGAGCUGACUGUCAGACUCACUCAGAUACCAAUGUGCAAUUCUGGAUCACUCUGACACUCAUCUGAUAUUAGGUGACGGGACAAAAUAGAAGGAGAGUGGAAGAUGAGAACUACAUCUCCCAAACAUGUAGUGAACUGAUAAAAGGGGUUCAUGGCCCCAAAACACUAACCUCAGGUUUACCCUGAGAUAUGUUGAGUGUUUGGAAGCUGUGUGUUGACUAGAUGAUGCAGCAGAUUUUGAGGGACAUGUACAUCGAUCUGGAAUUGCUGGCAGAGCUCAACGAGGAGCAGAAGCAGAUCAUGUUCUAUAAGGAGCAGGAAAGGCACUGGGAUGAGAGGGAGAACCAGAACCAGGACCAGGCCAAGUAGGAGACAUUCUUCAAAGGACAAAGGACUCAGUUUGGCAACACGGCCUUCCAUCUACCACCAACCUACCGAAGCGCAGCUCAGAGUAAAUAUUUAUUGCAUUUUCCUUUUCCAAAUGGGCGGUAAUUUAGAAUGCAUAAGAUACUGUAUUUACGAUAGCACAGCUCUGGCUAGAGCAAGGCCCGCCUCCAACUCUCAAACCCAGCCCUUUUCUUUUGUGUAACAAGCUGUCAUAUCUUGUUCCGCAAGAUAGGGACGUUUUCCUUUAUGACAUACUUUGUAAUCAAGUUGAUUAAUUAUGUGUAUAUGUAAUUCUGUGUGAUUAGUUAGGUAUUUAGUCAAUAAAUAAUUAAACCCAAUUUUGUAUUGCUGAUUCAACUUGUUAGCCAGGGUUCGUGCAGAUAACCAAG
ensembl:lncRNA